AACCCAUGAUGAGGACAUUGCUCAAUAAACUUUUAAAUCUCUCCUAUGCUUCGAACAAUUAUUCUUCCUCUAUUUGAGUAAAGUUCAUGAUUUGGUUUCGCAUGAAUGU